AAGUCGUAACAAGGUUUCCGUAGGUGAACCUGCGGAAGGAUCAUUAAUGAUUGACCUCACGGUCUUAUCUUAUAAUCCCUCACCUCUGUGAACCGUUUUGGACCUCUGGGUCCGAUCCAUACAAACAUCAGUGUAAUGAACGUCUUGUUAUCUUAACAAAACAAAACUUUCAACAACGGAUCUCUUGGCUCUC
rnacentral:misc_RNA from 1 species